GACGAACGCUGGCGGCGUGCCUAAUACAUGCAAGUAGAACGCACAGUUUAUACCGUAGCUUGCUACACCAUAGACUGUGAGUUGCGAACGGGUGAGUAACGCGUAGGUAACCUGCCUGGUAGCGGGGGAUAACUAUUGGAAACGAUAGCUAAUACCGCAUAAUAUUGAUUAUUGCAUGAUAAUUGAUUGAAAGAUGCUAUUGCAUCACUACCAGAUGGACCUGCGUUGUAUUAGCUAGUAGGUGAGGUAACGGCUCACCUAGGCGACGAUACAUAGCCGACCUGAGAGGGUGAUCGGCCACACUGGGACUGAGACACGGCCCAGACUCCUACGGGAGGCAGCAGUAGGGAAUCUUCGGCAAUGGACGAAAGUCUGACCGAGCAACGCCGCGUGAGUGAAGAAGGUUUUCGGAUCGUAAAGCUCUGUUGUAAGAGAAGAACGGGUGUGAGAGUGGAAAGUGCACACUGUGACGGUAUCUUACCAGAAAGGGACGGCUAACUACGU
rnacentral:rRNA from 1 species